CGGAGCUGGAGGAAUUAAGUGCCUUUGCAGCACUUUCUUUCCAGCCUGCACUGUAGGUGUUUCAUGAGAAUGUGGAGCUGCAUGUCACAGUCCAUUUUUUCCAUGAGUUAAGGGAAACUCUUCUAACACUCCCAGCUUCUGCUGGCCAGUCAUUCUCUCUUUGUAAUUAGCAUGAAGACUACCCUUCAGUCAAAACUAGCCAC